UCCUUGCACUGUCUGGUAGUAUUAACGUGUAAUUUAUAUAUAAUUCAUGUUUUUGAUUGUUUUCUGGGUCUUUAUGUCUGUAACACUGCUAUAGGCAAGAUUUUCAUUGCACCUGUGCUUCAUCAAAAUUCACAAAACUUGACUUAACUGGAUGGGACUUCAUUAGUUUUAACAUUUAAUUUUCUUCCCUUCCAUUUAAUUUCUCACCACUCUGUGCUCUGCCUACCUAAGUCCUAUAAUUGUUUUUCAAAGGACAGCAUGGGAUGUAUCAUCUCGUGUCUUAUUCUUUGCCUCGUCUACUCGUACCUUGUUGUUAACAUACUAACUGAUCACAUAGUUCAUUUUCCAGUUCCCCAAUAUUCUUGAGGAUGUGCAGCGGGGAAGGAGAGAUAAAGGAAAGCACAGACUACAGUUCAUUUAGCCUAACAUCACUGAUGAGGAAAAUGCCAGUCUAUUAUUUAGAAUGAGAUAACAGGACGCUUAGAAAAUAUCAAUGAGAUUAGGCAAAGUCAGCAUAGGUUUAUGAAAGGGAAAUUGUGUCUGAUAAACAAACUGGAGCGUUUGAUGAUGUAACUGGUGGUAGAGAUAAGGGAACACUAAUAGAGUUUUACACUUGGAUUUUCAGGACAUUUUAACAAAGUACUGCAUAAAACAUCAGCUUGCAAAUUAGAGGUAUUGGUGGAACAUAAUGGCAUGGAUUGAAAAUUAGUUGACUGACAGGAACCUUCUUCUUCUUGCGUAUUGCGUGCACAGCCUAAAGUUGUAGGACAACUUGUUCUAUUUGAUCUUAUUUGAUUGUGCAUGCCAGGUUGAGUGCAUUCAUUAAAAUAGGGUGGACCACGUGAAGGUUGCAAUCUCCCACCCCAGACAGGAACUAAACAGUAGGAAUGAAUGGGUAAUUUUCAGAGUGGCAACGGUGUGCGAUUUCGCAGGGCUCAGUGCUUGGACUUCAGCUGUUAACAUACAUCAGAUGAGGAAACAGAAUAGAAAGUUUGUCAAUUACACAAAUGCAUGAGAUUGUGUUUUAUGAGAUGGAUGAGAGGAGACUCCAACGUGACUGAGAUGGAUUGAGUGAGUGGGUAUAAACAUGGCAGAUAUAAUAUAACGUGGGGACACAAGGAACUGCAGAUGCUGGAAUCUUGCGUGGAACACAAAGUGUUGGAGUAAUUUUGCGGGUCAGCCAACACCACUGGAGGACAUGGCUAGGUUUAUCAAUGUCCUUCAGAGAUACUGCUUGACCGGCUGAGUUACUCUAGCAUUGUGUUCUAUACUAUAAUGUGGAUUUCUGUGCAUAAUUAUUUAGAUUCGAAGGGGUCUUUGCCUGAAAUGUUAGCUCUGUUUAUCUUCCCACAAAUGCAGCCUGACCACUGAGUUCUGCUUUUUUCUGCUUUUAUUUUAAAUUUACAGCUUCUCCAGUUAAUUUUUGAUUUUCACACAGGAAAACAAAAUGUCAUUUAAGUAGAGAGGGACAACAGAACAAUGCAGUACAGAGGGAUGUGGCAUUGUCCCACAUGAAACACAUUAAGAUAGCAGAGAGUUACAGCAAUGAAUAAAGAAGGUAAUGAAAUGUUGAAGACACAGGAGACUUGAGGGUCUUGAAGAAAGGUCCUGACUCAAAAUGUUGUCUGGGCAUUUCCUUUCACAGAAGCUGCCUGACCCACUGAGUUUCUCCAGCACUUUAUUAGUCUACUCCAUGAAAUGUUUAUUACAAGUGCGAUAGAGCAUAAAAUAAGGCAAGUCAGCACUACGGGGUGUGGUGAGACUACAUCAAUAAUACUGAGCACAGUAUUUUUUUGAGGGUGUGAAGUUCUUGAGGCUGGUAGGUUUUGUACAUAGUGAGGAAAAUUUGAUUAUGAGCCCCAGGCAGGACAGAGAAGUUGAUGCCCAUUAUCAGAUCGGCUGUGAUAGUACUGAAUGGCAGUGAUGGCCUGAGGGACAAUCUAACCUCUUCCUGUUUAUUAAAUUCUUACAUUGGCAAAUAGGGAAUGGGGAAAUCAUAAGCCGUGUCUUAACCAAGUGGACAUGACAGAUCAUGUUAACAUUGGACAUUGUGUAAAAUGCACAAGAUCAGAUCGGGCAACUUAUCAGACCGAGAGACCAGGUGGAUCACAAUCAGAUAUCACUGCUUUAUGUGAUCGCACAGAAUUUAAAACACCAGCACAGUCCCAUCCUCUACUCCUACUCUCAUUACUGCCCCGAUACAUGGAGAGUUCACUGUAAUCCAAGCAAUGCUGCUGUGAUUUCCUUUCCACAGAUUUGUUUAUGGUCUUGUUUGCAAAACAUUUUCCAUACCCACACAACCAAGUAGGUGCUCUGGGUUGAGAUAAGCAGUAAUUAGGAGCCUGGCUGAUGAUAUCUUGGCACAGAUGCAAGUGGCUGCUGACUCAGUGAACUCAAUUACGUCAUCUUAAAUUACAGGAAUCUUUGUGCAGAACAAGACUCUCAGUAACAGGAUCGCUGGACGACCGCCCCUCUGUUGCUGGCCUUGAGCCGAUGGCUAUUAUUUUCUCCAAAUUCUGGAAUGCGCUGUCUGAUAAAGUGUAGGCAGAUUUACGGAAACUUUCAAAAGAAAAUUAGACCUAUGAACAGCAACUUGUGAUUAACUCUAUAAAUUAUCCACUGACACUUAACGGGUGCACGCAUCAAGACAGAAUUUGAAAAAAAAAAAGGCAUCUACGGAAGCUUUAGUAGAAGUGACAGGAAUGAAGGAACAUUAAAUGGAGAACAGUGAUUGAAAGCACAGAAGUUUAGGGAGGGAAAUCCAGAGCUCAGGGCCAGACAGCUGAAAUUGUGGCUGCUAGGUGCGGAAGGAUAUACUCAGGGAUGGGCAAAUAUACUGCCUAAAGCAAAUUUGCAAAGAACAUAAGACUUAUUGCAUAUUUUCUCCAUGGAAAAUGUGCAGGUAUGAUGGGCUAAAUAGUUUUAUUCCACAUUGCUGUCUAAAGCAGGGUACCGACCCAAAAGUCACUUGUCCAUGUUCAAGAAGGAACUGCAGAUGCUGGAAAAUCGAAGGUAGACAAAAGCGCUGGAGAAACUCAGCGGGUGCGGAAGCAUCUAUGGAGCGAAGGAAAUAGGCAACGUUUCAGGCCGAAACGUUGCCUAUUUCCUUCACUCCAUAGACGCUGACUUUCUCCAGCAAUUUUGGCUACAGUCACUUAUCCAUGUUCUCCAGAGAUGCUGCCUGACCUGCUGAGUUACUCCAGCACUCUGUGUCCUUUUGUGUAACCUAGUAUCUGUAGUUCCUUGUUUCUACUUCUGCAUUCCACAAACCUUUAAUCCAAUGUGUAAAGCCAGCUAAAAUUCUUGAUGACGCUGAGCCUCUAAUGAAACUCACUCAGACACUGUACUGUGAAAGCCAUUGCAUUAAGAGCAAAGAAACUAAUACAAUCCCACUGCCCUCCCCUGUGAUUGUGGUUAACUGUUAACUGAGCAGAAUGUUCAUGCACUGAUGGAAGCACACUGCCUUCAUUAUACAAUGAUGUGCUUUAAUGUACACAUUCUCACCGUGAAAGUGCACCCAGUCCAACAAUCCCUGGAGGUUCAGGACUGGCACCUGGUGACCAGGAAAAUCUUAAAACUCCCACCCUUGUUCCAAAAUGAGUGCAGAGAACCACUGAACUCGGUAAUGGGGAAAGUUAUGGGAUUAAUAGGCAGGUAUCUUCCACUAUCUCCCUGUCACCCUGCUCCUUUUCCAAUCUUCGUUCAGUCGUCUCCCAUUCCCAAAUCCCUCAUUCCACUUUUAUCUCAUCUCCCCUAAUCCCUUCUGACUCUACACUUCAGUUCCUCCUCUCCUCUCCUUAUUCUGACACCCUUUGUCUGCUUUUUAUCUAUAACCUUGUCACUUACACCACUCAGCUGCCAUUUAAAAACGAUCUCACAAAUAUCCAGCUAUCACUUGUCAGGCUUUGUCCUGUCCCCACCUCUCUUUUGCAGCUUUCCUUCCCCCACUACUAGCAGUAGGGUCCCAGUCAAAAAUGUUACAUGUCCAUUUCCUCCACUGGUGUUUGCCACAGAAGGCUGUGAAGGCAAAGUCAGUGGAUAUAUUUAAGGCAGAAAUAGAUAGAUUCUUGAUUAAUACGUGUGUCAGUGGUUAUGGGGAGAAGGCAGUAGAAACAAGGAUGGAGAGAUAGUUCAGCCAUAAUUGAAUGGCAGAGUAGACAUGAUGGGCCGAAUGACCCAUCUGAUGAUCUAUGUUGCUGGACCUGCUGAGUUUCUCCAGCACAUUUUAUCUGUUUUAGAACAAGUAAGAUGGUGGCCAGACCAAAAGCAUUUGGGACACGUCGUGACCUAAGUGAUGGGACCGUUCUUGCAAUCCCUCACGUUCAAUGAAGUGGUCCAGCUGGUGCCAGUCCCUGGAUGGAGGCAAUGAGGUGCACUUGUUUUCUCUUAUGAAACAUAACGUUAGUUAUGACAAACCAUCUUGUCAGGAGGGGGACCCCACUGGAUCCAGCUUUCCCAAUUCCUUCUCUGCCACUCAUACCUUUAAUCAAUGGCAUCUCAACAUCCCUCUUUAACACAACAGCAAUGCAGAGCUCGCUGGAGAUUGACUUGUCAAUAGACUUCUUGUCAAUAAAUAAACAAUUGUCUGGAUGCUUGUGCAUCAUCAAACCCACUCAUGAACUGCACUGAACAACACUCAUUGACAUUUUUUCAUAGGAAGCUAAGUAUCUACUUCCAUUCCCAGCUGGAAACAGAAUAUACCUUCUAAAGCCUACCCUCCAGUACUAUUAUUUAAUAUUGGAUAUUGAGAAACCCCAGUCUCUCCUUCUUGAGUAUCUGUGUCUUUCUGUGAAACAAUCACCCCUUUGAUACCUGUGGAAUGUUACCUGCUGUGUGAUUGGAGACUUCUCUCGACAAGAGUUCACACUUUUGUCUUUGUUGAAAUUUGAGCCGCAGUGUACGAACACUGUUGUUUGGCAGCUCUGGAAUGACUGGCAGCUCCUCUGAAUUUGUUUGUCAGUCUGAGACAAAAGCUGUGAUUUUUUUCUUCCCCUCUGAGGCAUUUAAUUUGACAAGGACUAAAUGGCAAGGAAGAGAUAUUCGAAGAGAUCGGUCAGUAGAAAAUGUGAGAAAGUCCCUGAACAGUUCUUGACUUCAGCUGCGUGGAGGUUGCAUGUUGCAAUAGAUCAAAUAUCUGCCAGUUAUAGGCUGUAUUUGUGAAUGGAGCUUUACAAUACUGUGCAAAGGUGGGGAGAAGUCAGAUCUAGCCAGCAAUCUGUUUCCAUCUUGGUGAUUAGAUAACAGAUGCUGCCUGACCACUGAGUUUCUCCAGCAGUUUGCUUUGCGCUCAAGAUUCCAGCAUCUGCAAUCUCUUAUGUCUCCAUAAAAAUUGGAACGCUCAUGCGCAAUCUAUGAUAUGUCCCUCAACAAGUCUAUGAGUCAACAUCAAUUAAAGGGCGGCAUGGUGGCACAGCGUUAGAGUUAAUGCCUUACAGUGCCAGAGACACGGGUUCGAUCCUGAAUAUCACUACGGAGUUUGUGUGUAGAGAUAUUAUCGGGGUGCAUCAAAGCGUGGUUUGUCAACAGCGACAUCCAAGAUGCAAGAAAUUGCAGAGAGUUGUGGCCUAGUCCAGAUCAUCAUGCAAACCAAUCUCGCUUCCAUUGAUUCCAUCUACACUUCAUGCUCCCUCGGCAAGACCACCAGUACAAUCAACAACCAGUCUCACCCCGGUCAAGCCCUCUUCUGCCCUCUCCCAUCAGGCAAGAGGUACAGAAGUUUGAGAAAGCAUACUUCCAGAUUCAGGAACAGUUUGUUCCCUGCUGUUAUCAGGCAACUGAAUGGUCCUCUCAUCAACUAGAGCGCAGUCCUGACCUCCAAUCUACCUCAUUGGACACCUUUGUACUAUCUUUAAUUGGACUUUUUCAGACUUUAUCUUGAACUAUAUGUUGUAUCCUUUCUCAUUUAUCUGAACACUGUGGACGACUUGAUUGUAAUCAUGUAUAAUCUUUUCUUUGACUUGAUAGCAUGCAAAAAACCUUUUCACUGUACCUCAGUAUGUGUGACAAUAAUAAACUAAACU